rnacentral:rRNA from 1 species
AUUGAACGCUGGCGACAUGCCUUACACAUGCAAGUCGAACGGCAGCACGGGUGCUUGCACCUGGUGGCGAGUGGCGAACGGGUGAGUAAUACAUCGGAACAUGUCCUGUAGUGGGGGAUAGCCCGGCGAAAGCCGGAUUAAUACCGCAUACGAUCUACGGAUGAAAGCGGGGGACCUUCGGGCCUCGCGCUAUAGGAUUGGCCGAUGGCUGAUUAGCUAGUUGGUGGGGUAAAGGCCUACCAAGGCGACGAUCAGUAGCCGGUCUGAGAGGACGACCAGUCACACUGGGACUGAGACACGGCCCAGACUCCUACGGGAGGCAGCAGUGGGGAAUUUUGGACAAUGGGCGAAAGCCUGAUCCAGCAAUGCCGCGUGUGUGAAGAAGGCCUUCGGGUUGUAAAGCACUUUUGUCCGGAAAGAAAUCCUUGGCCCUAAUACGGUCGGGGGAUGACGGUACCGGAAGAAUAAGCACCGGCUAACUACGUG